ensembl:lncRNA
UUGCAGAGGUUGAUGCUAACCUGACUGAACUCUAAAAGCAACCAAGAAGGCUUAAAAAAAAAAAAAAAAUCCUGGUGAUCUAUUUUGAGGAAAUCUGCUGGAGAAGUAAAAACGUAACUCUUUGAGUAGCAUCUGCAGCCCUGAUGGUUGUGUGCAAUGUAAGUGAAACAAAUCCUCCGUCCUGAGCUUCUCUACCCGGGAAAAACAAGGAGGAAACGGUCCAUCUUGCCUUUGUUUGCGGGGAAUUUCAGAAUUCCCAUCUCUGCUCUUUUAUUCUGUGCUCUUAGCCAAAGGCAAACCCUGAACCAUACACUAGAGGUCGCUGUUCAUUACGCUCCAACCUCAUCUUCAAGGUGGGUGGGGGAAGGGCUGACCGCCUCUCUUCUCCAUGUAGUGGGAGGAACCUGCAGGCUCCGGCGGCUGGGAAAUCUGUUUGGUCACACCCAGAGCAGGAUUAGUAAUAGUGGGUUUUACAACCCCAGGGUCCUAAAUGCAUCUGUAAUAGAUGGUCCAACAGGCAAGAAGCACGAACUGGCACCAUCACAAGGCCACAGGAGCCACAGCAGGAAGGGGGCCCCCCAGGCACUACAUAGCCAUGGGGAGGAACCCAGUACCACAAGGAUAAUUAACUCUGCCUGCAGAAGCCAGCCGUGGUAUAAACCAGUGGUUGUCAAACUGUGCUCCCCAGAGGUUCCAUGACAGAGUUGGAGAACAAGGAGAGGUGGGCACUGGACCUUCUCCUAUUCAAACAGAGCAGCUCUGAAGUUCUACGCUUCAUAGAAGCUUUUCCUUGGAAGAAGGGCAUCUGUGGUCCCCAACAUGCAAACCCAGCAGUGAACUUGGAAGGGCUCCAUCUUGGAAGGCAGGGCCUGGCUCUGUGGCCUUUGGCACAACAUUGACCUUGAAGACUCCCUGCCAUGGCUAGAAUUGAAAGCUUUAGAC